rnacentral:sRNA from 1 species
AGGUAGGCAAGUGUACUUCCUCCUUCAUCAUUCUAUGUGUGUAUCUCCUGAAGCUGCACACAUAGCAUUUCUUUCUAAGAUAGAGGACUCUCCUUUGGUCAAAUGUAUACAAGUCGUUGCACUCUUCAGCUAGAAUCUCCUAACAAGCUCAAAUGAGUUAAAUAGCAGGGGAAAAGUUUGAAAAAGUCUUUGAUGGGAUUUUGCCUUUAAAA